rnacentral:rRNA from 1 species
UACGUAGGGUGCGAGCGUUAAUCGGAAUUACUGGGCGUAAAGCGUGCGCAGGCGGUUUUGUAAGCCAGAUGUGAAAUCCCCGGGCUUAACCUGGGAAUGGCAUUUGGGACUGCAAGGCUGGAGUGUGGCAGAGGAGACGUGGAAUUCCUGGUGUAGCAGUGAAAUGCGUAGAGUAUCAGGAGGAAUACCGAUGGCGAAGGCAGGUCUCUGGGCUGACACGUGACGCUCAUGCACGAAAGCGUGGGGAGCAACAGG